GGCUGUUUGGGGAGGCACAGCCUUCCCUACCCGGCCCUCCAUACAGUUUUGCAACCCCAAUGUGGCCCUCGGGCCAAAAAGUUUUCCCACCCCUGGUUUAGGAUUUUGUUGGGGAAUUCCAGGCUAGAGCCCUGUGAGUUCUUGCCCUGAGAAAAGGGUGACCCUAGAGAGGGUGUCGGGAGAAGGCCUGAAAAAGAGACUACAAGAGGAAGAAGUCCAAGGAGGCAGUAGAAAGAAAUAUGAUGAAGAAGCCCUUGGCUUCUAAUUAUAGGGUCCCUGGACUUGAACCCAGUGUAGUGGGUGGACCUGGGUACCCCUACCAUCUGCCAGUGGAGUUGGUGGUGGGAGGCCACUCAUGAGAAGGGGAUCUGGACAAUUGAAAACCUGAGAGAAACGUGUGGGGUCCCUGGGCCCCAAAUCAGACUGAAUUCCUUUGUUGUACUUUCUGUUACCCUGUAAAGGGGAAGACUAAAGCAUGAUCUGUCCAUAGGGCUGAGUCAUAAGAAGAGUCAGACCAUUGCCGGGCCAUUGCCAGCUUUAUCAGGGGGUGCUAUAGAGGACAUGAAGGGGUGCACCAGCGGAGGGUCCAGCUUUCACGGAUCCAUACAUUAAUGGAGGGAAUUCCUGAAUCCAGACUGUCUUGCCUCCUUCAUCACUCUCACACAUCUCUUAUAAGUAUCUGAACUUUCACAAGUUGGUGUUUGUCUCCCAACUUGAUUUUAAAAUAAAGCAAUCACCCUCAUUUUGACAAGGGGUCUCAUAGCCUGUAAGACAAGUUUAUAGGACACUAAAGUGUUUCAAAAUGUCUUUUAGAGGGAGCAGUGUUGGUUGUGAGGUAUUGCUACAAUUCAGUACCACUUCAUGAAUGUCAUGACAACACAACACCAUUCUCUCAUAUGCUGAGGUAAGUUUGUCCUGAAGGACAAUUUUAAAAAAUGUCAUCAAUUAGCUACAGUCAAAUGACAGCUCUGACAGUUUUCAGGUUUUCUCAUCACUUCUUGAUAUUGUAGCUCAGUUGCAUAGUGGCCUCAUUAAGAGUGCCCAUUCGCCCAUAUUCUGAUUCAGGAAAACAGCGAUACUGUAUGUCAGGAUUGCAUUGGCAAGAGCUGGACAGCCAGCAGUGCAACUGCCUGCAGUAUACCUGGAUCAUUGCCAGUGCUAUUAGUUCCUCUUUAUUAACACUAAAAUAACUUGCACAUCAAAGGCCUAAUACUUCCAGAAUAAUAUAUUCUGCAUUUGAUUUUCAAUAAUGCCUAUGGAAUAACCAUACCCUGUCCAUGAUGCACCAUAAUAGCUAUACAUUAAUAGAUUCUAAGGCCAGAAGGGGCCACUGUGAUCACGUAAUGUGACCUGCUGUACAACACGGUUCCAUAGAAUUCACCCAAAAUUAUUCCGAGAGCAUCUCUCUUAGAAAAACAUCCAAUCUUGAUUUUAAAAUGGUCACUGAUUGAGAAUCCACCACAACCCUUACUUGUUCCAAUGGUUAAUUACUCCCACCAUUCAAAAUCUGUGGGGAGUUCUAUGGCCUUCGAUGUGUGAAUAAUUUUAAUUAUAUGUUUGCUAGAUUAAAGAGCCCAUUAUCAAAUAUUUGUUCUCCAUGGAGGUAUUUACAGACUGUGAUCAAGUCACCCUUUAACUUUCUCCUUAUUAAGCUAAUAGACUGAGUUCCUUGAGUCUAUCUCUGUAAAACAGGUUUUCUAAUCCUUAAUCAUUCUUCUCUGAACUCUAACCAAUUUUUCAAUAUCCUUCUUGAAUUGUGGACACCAGCACUGGACAGAGUAUUCCAGUAGUGCCCAAUACAAAGGUAAAAUAACCUGUAGUUCUACUUGAGAUCUCCCUGUUUAUGCAUCCAACGAUCGCAUUAACCUUUUCGCCAUAACGUUGCACUGGGAGAUCACAUUCAGCUGACUAUCCACCAUGACCCCCAAAUAUUUUUCAGAGUCACUGCUUCCCAAGGUAUGGCUGUAUUAAAAUACAUAUUGUUGGCUUGUCUCCAGCUUAAAGUGAUCCAGGUUACUCUGUAGCACUGACCCAUCCUCUUCCUUAUUUACCACUUUAAUUUACCAAUAUACAAACAACGCAAACACAAAAUUUGUAUUUAUUCCUGUAUACACUGAACAAAAUAAAUUUUAUCUAAGCUAUCUGUAAUAUGCCACUGUAGUAUCUAGACACCAACGGUGAAAUCCUCGUCCCACUCAAACGGAUAGCAAAGCCCCAUGGUUUUCAAUAGGGCCAGGAUUUCAUACAGUGUAUCAGAAUCUCAGUAUCUGGGGUGAAAUUUUGGCCCUAUUGAACUUGGUGGAAGGAUUACUACUGAAUUCAAAGGGGCCAGGAUUUCGCCCACUAAAUCAAUUUACAGACCUUUAGCCAACCCUCCUGACUCUUCCUAUGUAAGAAAUCUAUCAACGAAAGGUUAGUCUAAAAAACCCAUCACUCAAAACCUGUCUACAAGAAUGAUUAGAUGAUGGCUAAUUGGGGUGUGAAUCUACCUGUGCUAGCCUUCUGCAUGUAACUGUCUGUGUGCAUCCUGCUGAUGCAUGUUAGCAGUUCAUUAAUGUGCUUUGAGCUAGCCAUGUUUCAAAACGACAGUUAGACAAUGCUGGCGCAAGAACAAAUGCAUAUAAACUAGCCAUCAACAAGUUUAGGCUUGAAAUUAAACUAAGAUUUCUAACAAUCAGGGGAGUGAAGAUCUGGAACAGCCUUCCAAGGGGAGCAGGGGGGGCAAAAAAACUAACUGGCUUCAAGACUGAGCUUGAUAUGUUUUCUGGAGGGGAUGUUAUGAUGAGGUUUUCUAGAAUUGCAUAUGGCUUGCUAUUAGCAAAUAUCUCUAAUGGCCUGGAGAUGGGACACUAGAGGGGAGGGUUCUGAGUUACUGCAGAGAAUUCUUUCCCAGGUGUCUGGCUGCUGGGUCUCGCCCACGUGCUCAGUGUCUAACCUAUUGACCUGGGGGAGAAAUCCAUCCCAACCAUAAAUACGGCAGUGUGGCGGAGACACUGGGGGGGUUUCACCUUCCUGUGCAACAUGGACCAUGGGUCACGUAUUGAUUUGAACUAGAGUAAAUAGUGGAUUCUCUGUCACUUGAAGUCUUUAAAUCAUGAUUUGAGGACUUCAGCAACUCAGCCAGAGGUUAUGGAGUCUAUUGUAGGAAUGGGUGGGUGAAGUUCUGUGGCCUGUGAUGUGCAAGGUGGUCAGACCAAACGAUCAUGAUGGUCCCUUCUGGCCUUAAAGUCUAUGAGAAUCUUUGUCAAGGAUGAAAGCUUUCAUAUUAAAAGGAUAGAACAGCUUAAAGGUUCUGCUGCUCCUCUUCCUCUCCUGUGCUGCUCUUCCUCCCUGAACGCUGCCCUGUCUGUCCGUCUGUCAGUGCUCCUCCUCCCACCUAUUCAGCAGUCACAGGCUGCAGGGGAGGAAGAAGUGGUGGUGCUGAGGCUACACCUCCUUUUUCCACCCUGCCGAAGGGCACUGCAAGUGGGCAGAAUGGCUUCCUGUUCCAGGUCCUUAACUGCUCCACUCUACAGCCAGUGCUUGGAGAAGGAGGAAACGCAAAGAGAGCCAGAAAGUAGGUAAGUGGGUGCCUAUAAGAAUCCAGGAGAGGAGCGGGGGAGUACUGACCUGGAAGCAAUGUAAGAGGAAGCCAUGGAACGGAGGGGGAAGGACAAAGCAUGCACACGUGCAGAAACCUAACCACUACUGUUAAGCGUCAAGACAAAUGAAUGUAUUGAUAAUUUCAUACCCAUCACCCUACCCCCACCGCACAAAUGCAGACACAAACCUUGUGAGUGCAUGGAGGGGUUUGUGUGUAGUCAAAAGGGCAAGUGGUGGGUGCAUGGCUGUCUGUGUGGGUUGGGUGGGUGGGUGUACACGUGUGUUGAGAGGUGUGUGUGUAAGAGUGGCUGAGGCAGGGCGUGACUAUCGGUGUUUCAGUGGCAGAAUGUUGCGGGCAGAUGAAGAGACAUGUAAAUGUCUACAAGUAUCAAGGGGGAGCAGGAAAGAAAGAGGAAGGAUGGAAGAACAUGGAGAAAAAACCCAAGGAGAAGAGGUAAGGAACGUAGGGAAAGAAAAGGAUACAAGGGAAAAAAGAAGAGAAGGAAAAAUCAGUCUGAAGUGAAAUUUAAUAUUGAAAAAGGCAGAGGGCAACUAAUUCUAGAAGCUGAAGAAGGAUAAAGGAAAGAAGAAAUUCCAGAAGAAAGGGAUAUCAUUAGGUCAGAUUUUCACUCAUGCUAGGGCUACUUUGCUUUGCCCCCUGAUAGAAAGACAACCUCCAAGCUGGCUUAACCAGCUUUCUGGGGCUGACGCCAGCAUGGGGAACCAUCUAGGUGGUGUAGGGCCAACUUAGCUGGGCGUAUGCCACCCCUUCUGAGCCCCGACUGAGGCACGGCCAGGGCAACAGAAGUGCACCCAGGGAACUGGAAUGGCCCUUGGCCAGCUGGACAAAACUACUGGAGAAGGGGCCAAACACCUGGCCCCAUGCCCAGUGUCCUAUUCACUUUUCUGCUUUUAAUAUGUAAAAAUGCUAUUCUGGGUUAGGAGGCUUUUAUGGCUCCCUCUGUACAAUGUACAAUUAGUCACUUGGGGCCUAAUCCAAUACCCACUGAAGUCAAUGGAAGCUUUUGCUGGAUGCAGGAUCUGGUCCAUGGCAAUUAAGGCAUGCAGACAUACAGGUGGAGUGAUACAAAAAGCUGUGUCAAUAGAUAUUUUUAUAAUUGCCUAAAACACUUGAAAAAAGUUUCCUAUAACAUGUAGCACAUGUAGAAUCCUUAAUAUGAUGAGGUAGGGUGAUGUAAAGGUUUCAUGAACAGUCAUUUGGGAUGACCGUCAUAACUCACUCAUAAGUAAUCUGGUCAUCCUAAAUUCAGGCCAGUAAACCUUUUAGAUCACACCAUCAUGUGCUCCCUAUUUAGAAUAUGUAAACUCUCCUGUAAGUUAAUGUCCAGCAGGUUUUUAGUCUAUACAUUUGCACGUACUGUAAACUACUUCAACAAUUCUGAUCGACUGGAUCAGCUGUGAUUUAAAGAGAGAGAGACUGAUUUUCACAUACAAAUAACUAUAAUCAGCUAUGCUUUCCUGACUUGUCUGCUGUCUUCAGCUGAGUUUUUCAGUAAAAACAUUAAUUACACAAUUUAAGCACAGAAAUAUCUGCUAAACUUAAUACAGAUAUUUUUUACUAAAAAAAAUCAGACCUGGUUUUGUACCUUUUUUAAAAAAUACAUACAGUUUGGGAAUUUAGGUCAACAAUAACAUUAUUAAAUUAUUAUGAAAUAUUAUACAGCUCUUAUAAAUUAUAAACUAUACUGCUCUUUGUACCAGGAACACACCGCCUUGUCUCACUAGAUGUUACCCUGUGUUCAUAUCCUGAAUAUAAGGUUUCAGCUUUUUCGACUAUUUUUGAAGACCACUUGAGCCAAUUUUCAGCCUAAAAGAGAAAUAAGUUUGAGCUACUAAUUUAGAUCCAGUAAACAUAAGAGUCAUAAUGAUUAAAUGUCUCUUAGGCGCAAAUUUUCAAUUAAAUAACUAUGCUGUACUGUAGUAUUUAACAAAACCAUGUACUGUAAAUUUCUUAAUAGGGAAGAUGACAAUGACUGACACUUAUAUAGUCCUUUCUUCUACAGAAUCCCAAAGCAUUUUACAAACUAUGGUACUGUGAUAGGAUCUCUAUCCCACACUGUCACUAAGAGGGUUAAUGAGAGCUUCAGAACUCAAUUAACCUACCUGUUGGCACCUGAACAGGUGUUAAGAAGGUUGGUUAGAAGGGUCACCUGGAAAGGAGUCAAGUUUCCUUAAAAAGACAGAAUGGUCAGCUAGUGAUAGACCCAGAAAAGAUGAGGCUGGGAGUUCCUGCACUGUGGGAAUGGUUUGAUAGAAGAAAGAAGCAGAGUAUCUAGGAAGCCUCCAGAAGGACUCACAUUCAAGCCUGGGUAGGGUGGAAGUGGUUUAAGUUUGUACUUUCAGUUUGGAAGAAUCCUGUAAGUUAUGAAGUAUGAAACCUCUGAGGGUAUAUCUACACUGCAAUUAGACACCCGUGGCUACCUCAGCCUGUCAACAGGCUUUUCCUACAGCUCCUUCCCGGGCCAGCUGACUUGAGCUUGGGUUGCAGCAGGGCUGUUUAACUGCAGUAUAGACUUCUGGGCUCAGGCUGCUGUUAAAUAAACCUACCGUCCAAGCCCUGCGAACCCAAGUCAGCUGGUACAGGCCAGCCAUGGGUAUCUAAUUGCAGUGUAGAUAUACCCUGAGAGUCUGAGAAAAAUACAGGUACACAGUGGGCCCAAGAAGAAGCUGUAGGAAAGGCCUGUUGACAGGUUGAGGUAGGAAGAUGUUCAGGGAAGGUAGCACAGAAUGGGUUUGAAUAAAUAAAUCUUGUCUUUUCACUAUAGGGUCCCUGGGCUGACACCCAGAGAAGUGGGAGGGCCUAAGUUCCCCUAUCACUCACCAGUGAAUGAACUUUCUCCUUGUAUAAGGGGAUGAGGACUCGUGAAAGCCCUGGGGACAAGAAGAUGUAAGGACCAGGGGAACCAGAGUCAAGGGCUGAAAACCUGAUGUAAAGUUGCUGGACUUUUUGUUACCCUGGAAGGGGUGGAACUAAAAUGUGACCUGGCUGGAGGGCCAAGUCAUGAGAAAAGAGACCCGCACCGGACCAGACUGAACAUUGGCAGGAGGCACACCAUGCUACAGCAGAAAGAGCGGCUACAUGCAGCCACAAGGGGAGCCCACCAGCAGUGAUGCCACCCUUCCACAGGGACUGAGAGUCAUUUCUGCAGACUAGAAAUGAAGUAGGAAUUUUGAGAAGCCAGCUCAGGAGAAUGCAUUAUUGCACCAGCUUUCCAACCACUGUCCCAGCAGCUGACAUGUCUGUUGUUUCUUCCUUUUGUUUGGCUCUUCUUACCUUUCUAAGCUGCCUUUCACUGGUUACCAGGCGGUGCCUUUGCUAUGAUGUGCAGCUGGAGGGCUAUACUUCAGACCACAGGACUGCUGUUAUUACGGAACAACAUAUGAGGUGUCACUCCCCAGCAGAGGUGGAAAACUGUUUUUGCCGGACAAAGGCAUGUAUUUUCAGAUCUUUGCUUAGGUUAAGCACUGUAAAGCCAACACCAUGGAAGUCCUAGUUACACGUGACAAUCAACAGGAAAAACAGAAGUUUGAAAACAGCUUAGGGUGCAG